rnacentral:lncRNA from 1 species
AUACAAUCUUCACCGUACCAGUUCUAUUGUCACAAACAAAGGGCUUAAUAUUUACAUUAUCAAUCAUGUUCUAUAAAGAUGAACUUCAAACCUCUAAUCAACUCAUAACAAAACUCUGUUAUGUUUAUCAAUCAUAACAAAUCUCAUAUUCUUGCAUUUAUAAAGUAUAAUAAUUUAAAUUUAGUCAUGGAAGUUGUUGGUUUCACUUCAUAUUUAACAUACACAUCAACUAAAGGUGGAAAGUAGAUCAGUCUGUAUAUGUGAACCUGCAUGGUUGCAUAACUUUCUCCAGUAAUGCGAAAGUCAAACUAUAAAACUUCUUGUUUAAUAUAAAUUUCUGAAUGAGAGUAACUGACGAUUUUACUCUUAAUCCAUAGUGAAUUUCUGUAAAAGUAAUAGAUAUUUAUGCUAAAUAACCAAAAAAGUGAAGAUCUACUCUUCCAUACAAAAGAUAGAAGCAAAAUUUUACUUUUUACUCCAAGAUUGAUAUACAUUUUUCAUAUUUUUAAUUAAAAGAAAAUUGUAACUAUGUUAAAAGCAUGCCAACAUAUCUAAUGCACGAUGUUCAUGUAGCAUUUGUAACAUUUUUAAUUUAAACUUUGAUUGAAAAAAAUAGAUUUGACCUUGGAGAAGUUGAAUUGGUAUCUAUAAGAAAGAAACAACGAUUUAAUGAAACGAUAAAAAAAACACCUGCAUAUAUAGUAGCUUAUUGCAGAGAAGUUGUGAAUGUAGCAAAACCCAAGACAUAUGUAUCGCCUGAACCUGGAUUUUAUCAAAAUUAGGUAAACCAGGUUAAAUAAAAUGGAAGGCUAAAUGCAAGAAAUAACUUGCAGUCACAUUUAAUUAUUUCUUAUAGCAUCCUACUUUCAUUUAUUAAUAGGUGAUAUAUUUUUGAAGAAUAUUGUCGUAAUAGGAAUAAAUGAAAGUGCGAUGCUAUAAUAUACUAACUACAUUAUUAUUGCUUGUAUUUAACUAUUAUACAAAAAAAAAAAAAAAAUACAACUUCAUCAAAAUUAUAACCACAAUAGAUGAUAACAAACCAAGUCCAGUAGCCAAUAAUCCAAUAUGAUACCAAAAACUACAAACAUAUCCUUAAAACCCUCCUGCAAAGACAAAAACAUGUUGUUACUAAUUUAGAGGCACCAAUAUUCCACCUCUUUUAACCAACUAUAUAAAAAUGCGUUGGUAUAACAUGCUCUGCAUUUCAUAUCAAUCAGAUAAUUCAACAAAACUAUGAAAACAAAUGAAACAAUUUUUGGAAGUUGACAAAUCAAGAAGAACAUUUAAUAAGGAAUUAUCGUCCAAUAAUCACUUCUUCUAGAUUAACCUUCUGGUGAGAUGUAAGAUAUUGUGAUGAUAAUAUAUAUCUCGAGCAACCUGUACAGAUCAAAAAAGUAUCACAAGAUGAUUUCUCACAAAAAAAUCAUUUAAUAUGAAACUGAUGGAGUUUUCAAUUCAGUGAAAUAUUGUUAAAAAUACUAACUAAAAACUCAACAAAAACAGCUAAACCCCAAAAAAAAUAGAAAUUUUGAUUCUACUUUAUUUAAAGAUAGAAACAAAGGAAAGGUAGGUUUCAUUGUGACAUUUUGUCAAACACCCGGUGGGUACUAAAGUCAAGAAACUUAGGAACAUUAUGCAUCAUUUGUAUAUACACUGUAUUACCUAAAAAGAACUGAGUAAAGACAUUGUAAAAUUGUUUCACAUAACUUCUAAAUCUAUGAAUUCAAGAACCUACACAUAUGAAAAGUGAAAGCAUCAUAUACCUGAUGGGAUACAUAAUAUCAAUCAUUAUGAUCACUGCUCUAAUAAAAUAUUUCCCUGAAAUUGAUGGUUUCGUCACCGACAACCACGUUAUCUAUGAUAAAAAUCGACAAUAUUACAACAGCUAGCAAGGGGUGAGGUUAUAAGACGAUCGUGAUAGAGAUUAGAUAUAAGGUUUUAAGAGGGUUACAAUUUAAGAGAUAUAAAAUGAAUAAGAUGAAGAAACACAACUCGUCGAGAGGAUGAAGAGGAUUAGGGUUUAAGAGGGAUAAAUAGAGAAAAACACAAAUGAAAAGGAUUACCUGAUGAUGAAAUCACAAGAAAGAAGAGUAAAAUGUGCAAAUACCCAUAACAAAUUAAUAACUUUUCACAAAUCAUACAUCUUUUUCGUGUUAUUUGAAUUUGAAAAACCCUAAUUGAUAUUUACUAUGGUGGUUAUGGAAUUCAAAUCCUAUAAAUACUAAGAUUACCUUCAGGAUUUCCUGAGAUAUGGUGAUCAUCACAAAAAUUUCGCACACAUAAUCCCUUGGUAACCGCUAAAGAUGGAAACAUAUCGUGUUGUGAAUCUACUGAUAAAAUAACAUAACACAU